GACAGAGGAGCCAAGCGUUGUCCGGAUUGACUGGGCGUAAAGCGCACGCAGGCGGAACGGCGCGUGGGGUGUGAAAGCUGGCGGCUUAACUGCCAGUCGCCAUCCCAUACGGCCAUUCUGGAGCCUUGCAGAGGGCAGUGGAAUUGCCGGUGUAGUGGUGAAAUGCGUAGAGAUCGGCAGGAACACCCAGGGGGAAACCAGCUGCCUGGGCAAGCGCUGACGCUGAGGUGCGAGAGCGUGGAGAGCGAACCGG
rnacentral:rRNA from 1 species